GAUGAACGCUGGCGGCGUGCCUAAUACAUGCAAGUCGAGCGAACGGACGAGAAGCUUGCUUCUCUGAUGUUAGCGGCGGACGGGUGAGUAACACGUGGAUAACCCACCUAUAAGACUGGGAUAACUUCGGGAAACCGUAUCUAAUACCGUAUAAUAUUUUGAACCGCAUGGUGCAAAAGUGAAAGACGGUCUUUCUGUCACUUAUAGAUGGAUCCGCGCUGCAUUAGCUAGUUGGUAAGGUAACGGCUUACCAAGGCAACGAUGCAUAGCCGACCUGAGAGGGUGGUCGACCACACUGGAACUGAGACGCGGUCCAGACUCCUACGGGAGGCAGCAGUAGGGAAUCUUCCGCAAAGGGCGAAAGCCUGACGGAGCAACGCCGCGUGAGUGAUGAAGGUCUUCGGAUCGUAAAACUCUGUUAUUAGGGAAGAACAUAUGUGUAAGUAAAUGUGCACAUCUUGACGGUACCUAAUCAGAAAGCCACGGCUAACUACGUG
rnacentral:rRNA from 1 species